UACGUAGGGGGCAAGCGUUGUCCGGAUUCAUUGGGCGUAAAGAGCGUGUAGGCGGCCAGGUAGGUCGGUUGUGAAAACUGGAGGCUCAACCUUCAGAGGUCGACCGGAAACCAUCUGGCUAGAGUCCGGGAGAGGAGAGUGGAAUUCCUGGUGUAGCGGUGAAAUGCGCAGAUAUCAGGAAGAACACCCGUGGCGAAAGCGGCUCUCUGGGAACGGUACUGACGCUGAGCGCGAAAGCGUGGGGAGCGAACAGG
rnacentral:rRNA from 1 species